AGGGGUAUAGCCCAGUGGUAGAGUAUGGGACUUGCAUGCAUAAGGCCCUAGGUUCAAUCCCUGGUACCUCCA
rnacentral:tRNA from 1 species